rnacentral:lncRNA from 1 species
GUUAAGGCAAAGGAGGUUUGGAUUUUAAUCUUCCCUCUGAUUUUUGCAUAGUUUUGGCACUUAUAUUUAACAACUCUGUUCUAGUUCCUAUCUCUGAACAAGGAGCUAGGUGUUAGAGUAAGCUUAUGCCAGUAAUGCUAACUAAGCACUUGUGAUCCUGAGAACAGAUGGAGAAAUGCAGCUGAGUGGCAUCAUAUGCAUUUUACUUGUUUCUCCUUUCCUCUUUACUCCUAGUCCCCACUAUCAAAAUUAAAGAUUACUGAAUCCACAUAGUCCUUUCCCAUUUAGGGCCAAUACCCAAUUUCUUCUGUAAUAUUUUCUAGUGCUUUAUCAGUCCAGUCUUAUAUGACUCAUAAAGCUUUCAUCACUUUCUUCAUGAGAUAAUUCAACAGUCUCCUAGACAACAUUACAGCAGUACAAAGGUCCUAAAAUUAAGCAAGAGAAGCUGUAUUCUAAUUUUUCCAUAAAGAAGUCCUGUGAACGAACCUGGCUCCACAACUUUUCUCUUUGAGUUUUUCAACUAAUGCCAGACGGUUAUCAAGCCUCUGUAUUAUAGCUAAAAUCUUCUUUAUCUAUUUCUUUAUUCUCACUGUCUUGUUUGAAUGCAAACGUGACUCAUGGUUAGAGUCAGAAGCUGAGUUCUAGCUGACACUGGACAAUUUUGAGUCUUGCUACACAGCCACUGAAGUGACCAAACAUUUCAAUUUAAUCCAGAUGCUGUCAGUUCUUUGUUGCAAGUUGCUAAUGCAGAGUUGAAACAUUUUUCUAACCACUCCAAUCUGAUAUCAUUUUUUUUCUCCAUUACCUGCCUAGGUCUUUCUCAUUCAAUAGCACCCUUCAUCUGGCAAAGUGAACCUUGUUGGACCAGGAACCAAACAUUCUCUGGAAGUCUUCUGUGGAGGGUACACCUCUGCCCAAAUCCCAAAAGGUGCUUAAGCAACUAAGUGGACAUUAGCACUCUAGUUACUCAUGGAUUUGUGAUGAAGUAAUAUAUUCAUAGCGAUGAGCAGGAUUUCUGCUUAAUAUUUCUGAAGUUCAGCCAUGCUCGGGAGCUUCAGGACAAAAUCUAUUAUAAAACACAAUGAGUUAUGAAGAACAAAACGGCCUUGAAGGUCUGUCAGUUAGAGACCACUUGGAGCUUGGUGUACCUACACAAAAAUAAUGAAAAAGAGAGUUGUUCUUGUCAAGAUUUGAACUGAACUCUAAGUAUGUGUAUGCGAAGCUUAGGGUUAUUUGAUAACUAUUUAGGUAGGUAAACAGUAGAGUGCACUACAUGCUUAUGUUUUAUAAUAAGGGGACUCAAAUCAAUAUAACAGGAAGAAGGUAGCAACUGGAAAGAAAAAUCAACAGAGAAUUUUGACAGGAUAGCAUCUCUCUCUCAUAUAUCACUUAUUACUAGAAAGCAGUAAUAGAAAAUUCUU